rnacentral:rRNA from 1 species
UACGUAGGGUGCGAGCGUUAAUCGGAAUUACUGGGCGUAAAGCGUGCGCAGGCGGUUCGUUAAGUUCGUUGUGAAAGCCCCGGGCUCAACCUGGGAACUGCAAUGGAAACUGGCGGGCUUGAAUGCGGCAGAGGGGGGUGGAAUUCCGCGUGUAGCAGUGAAAUGCGUAGAGAUGCGGAGGAACACCGAUGGCGAAGGCGGGUCUCUGGGCCGUAACUGACGCUGAGGAGCGAAAGCGUGGGGAGCGAACAGG